ACAUCAAUAUGGAAUUGGCCUGAGGCCAGCAAGGAGAGAGAGAUGAACAGUCAGUGCACAGAGGAUCUUAAGGGCAGGGAAACUAUUCUAUAUGAUACUGUGAUGGGUACAUGUCAUUACACAUUUGUCUAAACCCAAACCAUACCAAACGACGGGCUUUGAGUGACAAUGAUGUGUCAAUGUGGGUUCAUCAGUUUAACAAAGCUACUACUCUGGUGGGGGACGUUGAUGAUGCAGGAGGCUAUGCGUGUGUGGAAGGCAGAGGAAUGUCUCAGAACCUUCUGAUCAAUUUUGCCAUGAACGUAAAACUUCUCCAAAAGUAGAGUCUGAAAAGUCAGUAUUAUUUCAUAUAUACUAGGUAAUACUAAUUAAAAGGGAGACAGAGAAAUAGGAUAGUAGCCAGAGUAGAAAGUUGAAUCAGAAGGGAAGAUUUUUAAAGAUGAGAGAUACAUGGGCACUUUGUUGCUGAUGUGGAUAGAAUGACUGAGUAGAAUGGAAGAAGCUAAUUAUGCAGAAAAGAGGGAGAACGACCUCAGAAACAAAGUCCUUGAGAUAUCUAGAGAAGAUGGGCUUUCAAACACAAGUAGAGAGGUUUGGCUUUAAAUAAGAAGGGCAUUUCUGUUGUAAUGAGAGGGAAGACGUACUACACCAUAUACUUGGAGAUAUCAUUAUGGGGAGAUAGAUAGAAUUUCUGAUUAUCUCUAUUUCUCAAUGAGACAGGAGUUGAGAUCAUCAGCUAAAUGUAGGUAAUCACUGGAGGUUUGUGAGGGAGAAGAGAUAUAGUGUGAUCCUGAAAGAAAAAAAAAAAAAAGGAAUGAACUUACUAGGAAAACAAUGUAGGAUUUCUGGGUAAUAUUGAGUGCUCAUUUGAGAACUGCAGUAGUCAUCUAUUUAAAGUUCGAUCAAUCAAUUCCGUAUAUUGUUUUCUCCAGUAGUUGGAUUUAAUCAGCUUGAGGUUGUGGUAGGCAAGUUUGACUUGAGGAAAGAGGGGCAAAGAAGUAGAGGAUGUUUGUAGUCUUUGUAGGCAGUGUUUAUAACCAUGGGCCGUAACACUGAUGAUGAGUAAAGAGAAAUACAAAGACAUGAGAGAAGGUGGCAAGUAGAACAAAACAGAGCAAAACAACACAAAAAUAAUAAAUAAGCAGGUGUGCUUAACUGAUUGGAGGAGAAAUAUUAGAGAAAGUUAACUGGAAAGAUGAGGUUGGUGGUUGGAUCACAUGACUAAUGAAAUCUAGACUUGAAAAGUUGUGAUGACAAUACCUAGGCUGCUGCUGCUGCUGCUGCUAAGUCGCUUCAGUCAUGUCCGACUGUGCGACCCUACGGACAGCAGCCCACCAGGCUCCUCUGUCCAUAGGAUUCUCUAGGCAAGAAUACUGGAGUGGGUUGCCAUUUCCUUCUCCAAUACCUAGGCUAUAGCCAUCUUAACAUAACUGAGGAAUGUGGAAGAACAGAUCACUGGAAAUGAGGAGGCCAAGGAACUCGGGAUGUAAAGUCAUGAAGAAUGAUGACAGAAAUAGGGGUGAAAGGGAGGAGGGUGAGUUGGGUGCUUCAGUGUGCAAUAAAUGGGUAAAGAGGAGGUUGUUGAUGGCAGCAACAAAAUGGGAAAAGAGGGAUACAGCCUAAGGAAGAGCUGUGGUUUAUACAAGAUGAGGAGGAGAAAGGAAACCAGCUUCUCUAUCUUCAGGCUUUGGGGUAUGUGGACAGUGAGAGAAAAAGCAUAACCCACUUUUGAGGGCAAUGGGAAAAACCACAUCCUCAGGGCCAUACUGAGGCCAUACAGGGUUUCACUUAAGACACCAAGAAGAGCAGAAUGCUUAAAGAAGAGGUAAAGAUUUAAAAGAAUUUCAGAAAGUUUGGUGGAAUACGUGGGUAUUGGGUCAGAUAAUAAUAAUUGGGUCAGAUAUUAAAAAUAGCACCAACAUUGUUAAUUGUCUCUGCCUUUACUCCCACCUGCCCUAGCAUGUAAUCUUCAUGAAGGCAGGGAUCUUUGUCUAUUUUGUUCAUUGAUAUAUCCCAAGGACCAGAACAGCACCUGGAAUGAAAUAUCAUAGAUGCAGCGAAUAAUUAUAACUAAUAUUUGUUGAGCACUAAUGUACCAGAAUAUCCUAAAUGCUUAUAUGCUUUAUCAUUAUCACCCUAUGUUAUAGGACAGGACAUUGAGGGACAGAGAGGUUAAAUAACUUGCCUAACUCAGGUCAUUGGGAUAGUAAGUGGUAGAGCUGAAGUUCAAACACUCUAGUUACAGUUUGGCCCUAGAGUCCCUGUAUUCUUAACCUCUAAAUUACCCCUGUGGUUGGUGGACAUCUAGAAUAGUAUCAAGAUAAGAGCCCAGGUGAUGGUAAAUGAUGAAAGAGCAAUGAGAUUAAAAGUUAAGCAAUAAAUAUUGCUACUGAUUUCAAAAGCUGGUCUAGGGAUCUGCGGUCCCUAACGUCAUAUACUCAUGUCCAUCUCUCACUGUGACCCAAGUACUUUCUGCUAUCAGUUCCUAGUUCUUUUCAUUUCUUUCCUCUAUAUCUUCACCCACCCCUCACUUAUCCCCCCUCUUCAUUAUUUUUCGUUCCACCUGGCAAACCCUCAGCCCUUUCCACUAGCUUUGAUCAAGGGCAAUCAGGCGCACUGGAAGCUAGUUUCUAAGCAUGUGAUCCUGACACAUCGAUCUUACAGCAGGCCUUCGGCUCACCAGGCUGACUCACUGUCAUACUGAUUCCAACUGUAUACUCAUUCUGGGAGUGUCCUUUGAAGUGCUGAGAGUCUGCUGGCUGUUUUCUGAACAGCUCAUGCUGUGAAGAGAAAAAUGAAAUGAACAUUCCAUAAUUCAGGAAAACCAAGAAGGAAACUGAAUCUGUGUAACUGGAUAAAAGAAACCUGGGUUAGUGCCACUGUUUUGUGUUCAGUCUCUACAUCAUAUCCUUCAGUGAGAUACCCUGAGGUCAAGAUAUAUGGAAGGUUUCGAUAAACUCUGUGUAAACUGGACUGAAGGUCAGUUCCCAUUGUGCAUUGGUGGUGGUUUACUCACUAAGUCAUGUCCAACUUUUGUGACCCCAUGGACUGUAGCCUCCCAGGCUCCUCUGUCCAUGAGAUUCUCCAGGCAAGAAUACUGGAGUGGGUUGCCAUUUCUUUUUCCACCCAUGGUGCAUUAGGUACAGUGAUAAAUGGAUACAAUAACUUGUGUCCCUUAAGGUUCUUUGGUUGCAUGUAACCAAAACACUUCUGGCUAACAUAAGCCCAAGGGAGUUAAAAGAAGGAGGUAGGAUGCCUACAGGCAUGAGGGGAGACUAGAGACCCAGUCACAGAAAUGAAUGAGAAACAAUCAAGUUCUGGAAUCUAGGAGGUAAGAAUUCUAGAAAGUAAGAAUCACAAAAAGGGUCAUAAAAGUCUGUUCAGGACAUGCUACUCAGAUGGAGUGACAUUCCUAACAUUUUCAUUCUCUUCGUUCCUCUGCCCAAAACUCAUAUUCCCAUGAAGAAGCAUCUGAUUGGUCUAACUUAGAUCACAAAUCUCCUAAUAACCAGCUCUAGACACAGACUGUAUCUUAUGGGGAAGAGAUUAUCCCCCCAAAAGAAAACAGGGUGUUGUCAGGCAUGGGAAAUGGGUGUUAGGUAUUCUAGCACAACCAGUUCCCUCAAUUCCCAACUCCUCCAUGGAUAUUUCAGUUCAGUUCAGUCACUCAGUCAUGUCCGACUCUUUACGAUCCCAUGAACCAUAGCACGCUAGGCCUCCCUGUCCCUCACCAGCUCCCGGAGUUUACCCAAACUCAUGUUCAUAGAGUUGGUGAUGCCAUCCAACCAUCUCAUCCUCUGUCGUCCCCUUCUCCUCCGCCUUCAAUCUUUCCCAGCAUCAGAGUCUUUUCAAAUGAGUCAGCUCUUCGCAUCAGGUGGCCAAAGUAUUGGAGUUUCAGCUUCAACAUUAGUCCUUCCAAAGAACACCCAGGACUGAUCUCCUUUAGGGUGGACUGGUUGGAUCUCCUUGCAGUCCAAGGGACUCUCAAGAGUCUUCUCCAUACCAUAGUUCAAAAGCAUCAAUUCUUUAUCACUCAGCCUUUUUUACAGUCCGACUCUCACAUCCAUACAUGACUACUGGAAAAACCAUAGCCUUGACUAGACAGACCUUUGUUGGCAAAGUAAUGUCUCUGCUUUUUAAUUGCUGUCUAGGUUGGUCAUAACUUUCCUUCCAAGGAGUAAGCGUCUUUUAAUUUCAUGGCUGCAAUCACCAUCUGCAGUGAUUUUGGAGCCCCCCAAAGAAAGUCAACCACUGUUUCCACUGUUUCCCCAUCUAUUUGCCAUGAAGUGACAGGACUGGAUGCCAUGAUCUUAGUUUUCUGAAUGUUGAGCUUUAACUUUCUCACUCUCCUCUUUCACUUUCAUCAAGAUCUUGGUAAGGAGAACCCCUGCCUUGAAACCCAUGCUUUAAAGGGCCUAACUCUGGCCCUUGUCUAAUACCAUGGACCAAAGAGAUGUGACCAGUGUGAGCCUAUGCUCCUCCUUCUAGACCAUGUGCUGGGUCUCUAAGCCCAUUUGGGUCUGUCCUCCCCAAGGGCAGACUACACCCUUGAUGUGGGUAACACUAAGCCAGAGGGACAGCAAAGGGUGACCGUUUGAAAUGUAGGGGUAGAGCCAAAGCUUGGACUUGUGGGCUGGAGUGUUAGUGUGAAUGUAUGAGGCCCUGGGCCUCAUGGGACAGAGCCAGGAGUGGGAAGAGAAAGCUGGGGACCAGGAACCAGCACUCCCUGCUGCUGCCCCAGUUCUGUAAGGAACUCCAAGGUGACUUCGAACUCUGAAUGUAUACCUGGCUUUGCACGCCACUCCAGUAUGCUUGCCUGGAGAAUCCCAGGGACAGAGUAGCCUGGCGGGCUACAGUUCAUGGGGUUGCAAAGAGUUGGACACGACUGAGCGACUAACACUUUCACUUUUCAAUUUCCAGGUCAUUAUGAGAAGGCAUGUUUUUUCAUUAUAGGCAGACAGAACAUAUUUUAACAGUUAGUGAGCUUGAUUUUUACCUUUUCAGUAUUUAGACAUGUGAUACAUGGGCCUCCAUUUGUGCUUUUGGCCCAGACCCUGAGAAUGUGAGGAGUGGGCUUGCAGUAUGCUCACAUAUUUUGUUUGGCUACUGUGCCUAGUUUUUUUUUUUUUUUUUUUUAACAUCUUGAAUUAGUUUCCAACAUUAACAACUGGAAGAUUUCAUAUAAGAAUUAGAGAUUUCUGGUUUCUUUUUUUUAACAAAACACAGAAAAUCAUUUCAUUCAGAGCCUGCCUAUCUGUGUGGCAGGAAGGGGCAGAGGCCGCAUCUCAACUGCCUUCCCUGGAUGGGCAGGUGUUUUCCCCUUGGCCACAGUUCCCACCUGUCUGCUUUUAUUCAUUUUGGUGACCGCUCUGGCCGCUGGGGGCAUUUGAGUUUGUCAUCCCUGAUUCAGGUCCUUCAUUAGAUGUCUCCUUUCCAGAUAAAGCCACCAGGCUCACACAUUUUUGUACAUUUAGAACCUUUUCUCUCCACCUUUCCUCAAAGAAAACGUCUUUGGGUUUUGUUUUUAUUAGCUAACUGUAAUUCCCUAAAUUUUAAUAUGGCUGAGUCCCAUCAUUUUAGUAUCCUGUUCCCUAACUUCUGAAUCUUGGGGAAUCAUUAAAACAGCAGUUAGGAACUUCAAGGGAGCAGUCUCUAGGCAGAGAUCCCCCACUUUCACCAGGCUUUGCAAGCUGGAGACCAAAUGAGAUGGAUUUUCUCACUUUGACCCCAGUGAGAGAGGGAGAUUUUCGAUAACUGACAAAGAGCUUUUGUUCAGGUUUGUGUCAGGGUAAAUCAGCUUGCCCCACUGCCUGGCCCCUUACUUCUACCAGGCUCAUCUUCCCUUUCUACCCCAGAAGAGCCCCCUGCCCUUCCUCCUCCCAUGCAUGGGGGCCACAGCCCUCAAUGCCUCCAGGUCUCCAGCAACCUAACCCUCCUCCACUCCGCCUCUCAGUCUGGAAAACAGCUUUGCAAGUUAACCUCCAGGGGCAUUCACUGGGUUUCCAGUGGGGUCCCCAGCCCCACAGGCUGCCAAAAUAGGCUCUUUACACUCCAUAGAUGGGAGAGAAAAAUCUGCUUGUUCGGUUGCAACUGUCAAGCAAAGGACGUGCUGAGCUCAGAUAGAAAUAGCAGCAGGGUCAGGGCAGGGCAAGGCCCUAGCAUUUCAUUAGCUCAGCCCACUAAGUGUGAUUAAAUGCACACAGUGGCCCAUGAAUGGGGCCAUGGAGGGCAGCCACACAGUGCAGCACAGAAAAAUCAUUCUUUGGCCGCUGUCAGCUGGCUGAAUGGGACUUAAUUAUCGGGAUAAUGAGAACUGAUUUUCAUUGUUUUAAUUUUGGGGAAGGGGUGAGAAAGGAGGGACUUUUUUCCCUCAUCUGGGUGAAAGGAUGCUAAGUAUGGCCUCCAACUGGGCCCCACAUCUUCUAGGCUGCUGUGAGCUAAGCCUCCUGCAUUUGCUGUUUUUAUGGAUGCAAUAAGGAAGGGUGUUAGGCUUGUCUUCUGUAUUGGUACUUCCUGUAGGCCCUGUAAGCCUGGCAGGAUGUGUCCUUGUAAGAGCAUGUCUGUGCUGGCAUCUGAUCCCAGCAGCUGGGCCGAGGUAACAUGGACAGAAUCCACUGAACAGAUCUGUCUGUUCUCAGCUCUUUCCAAGUGCUUUCGAGUCAUCAGUGAAUCCUGUCUUGUUCCUCUUUUUGUUUUGUUUUUAAUGCAAUAUCUAGAGAAUUCCAACUAUUUGCUGAGGUCAAACAGAAAAAUUCUGGUUUCUUCUGUUCAUUUUGAGGCUCAAAGUCCAAGGGGUCCACUGCAGACCAGUGCGGGGGUCAUCAGAACUCUUUAAAACCCAGAAAUCCUUGACGAAUGAAAUAAGCUCUGACCCUAUGAACUGUGAACAUCACAAAUCCAUCUCACUCUUAUUCAGUUUAAUUCACCUGCUACCUUCCCAAGAGCUUGUUCUUCAUAGAGAAAUGAGACGGUUAUUUAUUCUCCAGCUUGAUCACUCCUUUCUCUAAAUAACACAUACUAUUAGCUGGAUGGUCAGACAAAAAGUAUUUCUAAACUUGGUUUAGCAUGGUUCUAGAUGCUACUGAAAUGCAUGAUACAUCCACCCCAUGAAAGUCAUCUGGGAAGACCUAAAACAAUCAGAGAAGCACACAGUAGGCUAGCCAGGGGGAGGAGGAGAGAGUGGGUUUAGGAGUGGUGAGGGAAGCGUUAUGAAGCUGAGAGAGGCUUGUUCAGUUCAGUUCAGUCGCUCAGGCGUGUCCGACUCUGUGCGACCCCAUGAAUCACAGCAUGCCAGGCCUCCCUGUCCAUCACCAACUCCCGGAGUUCACUCAGACUCACGUCCAUCGAGUCCGUGAUGCCAUCCAGCCAUCUCAUCCUCGGUUGUCCCCUUCUCCUCCUGCCCCCAAUCCCUCCCAGCAUCAGAGUCUUUUCCAAUGAGUCAACUCUUCCCAUGAGGUGGCCAAAGUACUGGAGUUUCAGCUUCAACAUCAGUCCUUCCAAAGAAAUCCCAGGGUUGAUCUCCAGAAUGGACUGGUUGGAUCUCCUUGCAGUCCAAGGGACUCUCAAGAGUCUUCUCCAACACCACAGUUCAAAAGCAUCAAUUCUUCGGCACUUAGCCUUCUUCACAGUCCAACUCUCACAUCCAUACAUGACCACAGGAAAAACCAUAGCCUUGACUAGACGGACCUUAGUCGGCAAAGUAAUGUCUCUGCUUUUGAAUAUACUAUCUAGGUUGGUCAUAACUUUUCUUCCAAGGAGCAAGCGUAUUUUAAUUUCAUGGCUGCAAUCACCAUCUGCAGUGAUUUUGGAGCCCAAAAAAAUAAAGUCUGACACUGUUUCCCAUCUAUUUCCCAUGAAGUGAUGGGACAGGAUGCCAUGAUCUUCAUUUUCUGAAUGCUGAGCUUUAAGCCAACUUUUUCACUCUCCACUUUCACUUUCUUCAAGAGGCUUUUUAGUUCCUCUUCACUUUCUGCCAUAAGGGUGGUGUCAUCUGCAUAUCUGAGGUUAUUGAUAUUUCUCCUGGCAAUCUUGAUUCCAGCUUGUGUUUCUUCCAGUCCAGUGUUUCUCAUGAUGUACUCUGCAUAUAAGUUAAAUAAGCAGGGUGACAAUAUACAGCCUUGAUGUACUCCUUUUCCUAUUUGGAACCAAUCUGUUGUUCCAUGUCCAGUUCUAACUGUUGCUUCCUGACCUGCAUACAGGUUUCUCAAGAGACAGGUCAGGUGGUCUGGUAUUCCCAUCUCUCUCAGAAUUUUCCACAAUUUAUUGUGAUCCACACAGUCAAAGGCUUUGGCAUGGUCAAUAAAGCAGAAAUAGAUAUUUUUCUGGAACUCUCUUGCUUUUUCCAUGAUCCAGCAGAUGUUGGCAAUUUGAUCUCUGGUUCCUCUGCCUUUUCUAAAACCAGCUUGAACAUCAGGAAGUUCACGAUUCACAUAUUGCUGAAGCCUGGCUUGGAGAAUUUUGAGCAUUACUUUACUAGCAUGUGAAAUGAGUGCAAUUGUGCGGUAGUUUGAGCAUUCUUUGGCAUUGCCUUUCUUUGGAAUUGAAAUGAAAACUGACCUUUUCCAGUCCUGUGGCCACUGCUGAGUUUUCCAAAUUUGCUAGCAUAUAGAGUCCAGCACUUUCACAGCAUCGUCUUUUAGGAUAUGAAAUAGCUCACCUGGAAUUCCAUCACCUCCACUAGCUUUGUUCGUAGUGAUGCUUUCUAAGGCCCACUUGACUUCACAUUCCAGGAUGUCUGGCUCUAGAUGAAUGAUCACACCAUCGUGAUUAUCUGGGUCAUGAAGAUCUUUUUGUACAGUUCUUCUGUGUAUUCUUGCCACCUCUUCUUAAUAUCUUCUGCUUCUGUUAGGUCCAUACCAUUUCUGUCCUUUAUCGAGCCCAUCUUUGCAUGAAAUGUUCCCUUGGUAUCUCUAAUUUUCUUGAAGAGAUCUCUGGUCUUUCCCAUUCUGUUGUUUUCCUCUAUUUCUUUGCAUUGAUCGCUGAAGAAGGCUUUCUUAUCUCUUCUUGAUGUUCUUUGGACCUCUGCAUUCAGAUGCUUAUAUCUUUCCUUUUCUCCUUUGUUUUUUGCCUCUCUUCUUUUCACAGCUAUUUGUAAGGCCUCCCCAGACAGCCAUUUUGCUUUUUUGCAUUUCUUUUCCAUGGGGAUGGUCUUGAUCCCUGUCUCCUGUACAAUGUCACGAACCUCAUUCCACAGUUCAUCAGGCACUCUAUCUAUCAGAUCUAGGCCCUUAAAUCUAUUUCCCACUUCCACUGUAUAAUCAUAAGGGAUUUGAUUUAGAUCAUACCUGAAUGGUCUAGUGGUUUUCCCUACUUUCUUCAAUUUGUCUAACUCAAUGAAACUAAGCCAUGCCUGCAGGGCAACCCGAGAUGGGCAGGUCAUGGUGGAGAGGUCUGACAGAAUGUAGUCCACUGGAGAAGGGAAUGGCAGACCACUUCAGUAUUCUUGCCUUGAGAACCCCAUGAACAGUAUGAAAAGGCAAAAUGAUAGGAUACCAAAAAAGGAACUCCCCAGGUCAGUAGGUGCCCAACACACUACUGAAGAUCAUUGGAGAAAUAACUCCAGAAAGAAUGAAGGGAUGGAGCCAAAGCAAAAGUAAUACCCAACUGUGGAUGUGACUGGUGAUAGAAGCAAGGUCCAGUGUUGUAAACAGCAAUAUUGCAUAGGAACCUGGAAUGUCAGGUCCAUGAAUGAAGGCAAAUGGAAGUGGUCAAACAAGAGAUGGCAAGAGUGAACAUCGACAUUCUAGGAAUCAGCAAACUAAAAUGGACUGGAAUGGGUGAAUUUAACUCAGAUGACCAUUACAUCUACUACUGCGGGCAGGAAUCCCUCAAAAGAAAUGGAGUAGCCAUCAUGGUCAACAAAAGAGUCUGAAAUGCAGUACUUGGAUGCACUCUCAAAAACAACAGAAUGAUCUCUGUUCGUUUCCAAGGCAAACCAUUCAAUAUCACAGUAAUCCAAGUCUAUGCUCCAACCAGUAACACUAAAGAAGCUGAAGUUGAACGGUUCUACGAAGACCUACCAGACCUUUUAGAACUAACACCCAAAAAAGAUGUCCUUUUCAUUAUAGGGGACUGGAAUGCAAAAGUAGGAAGUCAAGAAACACCUGGAGUAACAGGCAAAUUUGGCCUUGGAAUGUGGAAUGAAGCACGGUAAAGACUAAUAGACUUUUGCCAAGAAAAUGCACUGGUCAUAGCAAACACCCUCUUCCAACAACACAAGAGAAGACUCUACACAUGGACAUCACCAGAUGGUCAACACCAAAAUCAGAUUGAUUAUAUUCUUUGCAGCCAAAGAUGGAGAAGCUCUAUACAGUCAACAAAAACAAGACCAGGAGCUGACUGUGGCUCAGAUCAUGAACUCCUUAUUACCAAAUUCAGACUUAAAUUAAAUUAAAUUGGACAGAGGCUUGAGAGGACUCCAAAUGAAGCAGAAUUUCCAUUAGGAGCAAAGGGUGAAAUUGAAUGGUGUGUUUGCAAGAAGGACACAGACAUCAUUAGAAUGAAGAAUUCACAUGAAGCGUAAGAUUUAAGAUUUUGUAAAGUAGGGCCAGAUGAUUAGAGUUGUGAAAACCAGAGCGUGGUUUUUUCGCUGUUGUGUUUUAUUUUCUUUCCUAACUCCAUCUUUGGCCAUAAAAAAAUGGCUGUAAUUGCUUUUGUUUUUGUUUUCAUUUUCCGCUCCAAGUGCUUUAAUAAGAAAAGCAGAAAGGAAGAGGGUGUACUCUCCUUCAUGGAGCACAGAGAAGAACACUCUCUUAGAUGUUUCAGGGUUUUUAGUGCUUAUUCCUGCCUGAUCUCUGUACCCCCUGGAAUUCCUUAUCCUGCCCAAUUCAAUUUAUCCCUUCUUUCCUUAAAGACUUGACAGGACAUAGGUUAAGUUAUUCAAAUCUGGCAACUCGGUUCUUUGUGGCAAGGAAUAGAUGGUUAAAGAGAACUGGCUGUGAUAGGUAAAUGGUCCCCCUGCCCCUCUCCAAGGAGAAGUGCCAUAGUCCUUCCAAGAAGCCACAUCCUACUACAUGCAGAGUCUUGAUAGAUUGAGCCUGCUCAUCACAAUCAAUUAAUCAUGCCUGUCCACAGUGGGAAUGUCCUCUGUGACUGAAACAGCACUUAUGUCCCUUGUGAUUGAAGGUUCCUUGCUUUGGAAACCCUUACAGGUCAGAGAGGAAAGUUGAGUCUGGAUGGCAUACAAUAUUCUUUGGGUAUGUUUUCUCAUCCCCAAAACUUCCUCUGUGCUUUAUGUCACCCAAAUAACUCUGUUCAUUGCAAAGCUAUAUUGUCAGUGUAAUCUUUGUGGCCAGAGGUCAGCAAACUUUUCUGUAAAAGACCAGAAAAGUUUUAUAAGCCAUACUGUUUUUGUCACUACUCAAUUCUGCCAUUGUAGUUCAAAAACAGCCACAGACAAUACAAACAUAAACCAAUGAGCAUGUGUUCCAACAAAACUUUCUUUGCAAAAAUAAGAGGUAGACUGGAUUUGGCCCUUGGGCUGCUGUUUGUUAACUUCUUCCAUAGAGAGCUUCUACCAUCCCACUUCCAGUUUUUUCUCCAGGAUCGUCUGUGUAAAAUCUCCCCUUCCCCAACACACAGAAUUCCUUUUAUAUGUCUUCUCUAGAACCUAGAAGUCCUGGGCCUAGAAGUCAUUCAGUAAAGACAUGCUGGGGCUUCCUAGGUGGUGCUAAUGAUAAAGAACCUGCCUACCAAUGCAGGAGACACAAGAGAUGCAAGUUCGAUCCCUGGGUUGGGAAGAUCCCCUGGAGGAGGGCAUGGUGACCCACUCCAGUAGUCUUGCCUAGAGAAUCUCAUGGACAGAGGAGCCUGGUGGGCUACAGUCCAUGGGGUGGCAAAGAGUUAGACAGGACUGAAGCAAUUUAGCAAGACAUAGCAUGGCAAAGGCAUACUAUUCCACUUUAAUUUUUAUUAAAAUAUAAUUGAUUUACAAUAUUGUGUUAGUUUCAGAUAUAUAGAAUAUAUAUAUCCUUUUUAUUAACUUUCUUUUCCAUUAUUACCAAGUAUUGAGUAUAGUUCUCUUGCUAUACAGUAGGUCCUUGUUUGUUAUCUGUUUUAUAUAUAGUAUUAUAUAUAUUUUAAUCCCAAACUCCUAAUUUAUCUCCCCUCUUUCCCCUUGGGCAACCAUAAAUUUGUUUUCUAUGUCUGUGAAUCUAUUUCUGUUUUGUAAAUAAGCUCAUUUGUAUAAUUUUUUAGAUUCCACAUGUAAGUGAUCUCUUAUAGUAAUUUGUCUUUCUCUGAUUUACCUAGUAUGAUAAUCUCUCAGUCCAUCAAUGUUGCUGCAAAUGGCAUUAUUUCAUUCAUUUUUAUGGCUAAGUAAUAUUUCAUUGUAUAUAUGUGUAUGUACCAUCUUCUUUAUCCAUCCAUCUGUCAAUGGACAUUAAGGCUGCUUCAAGUCUUGGCUAUUGUAAAAAGUGCUAUGAACAUUAAGGUGCAUGUACCUUUUCAAUUUAUGGUUUUCUCUGGAUAUAUGCCCAUAUGGUAGCUCUAUUUUAAAUUUUUAAAAAAUCAUCCAUACAUUGUUCAGAGUAGCUAUACCAAUAGCAAAGGCAUAUUAUUGAUUUUUAAGCAUCACCAUCAUAUUCUUGACAGGAAAAUCUAGAAAAAUUCUUCCAUUGAGUAUAAGAUUGAAUGGCAUGCUUCUAAGACUUACUCCAAAUAAAAGAAUAUAAAAAUCCUAAUUAAUGAGAUUAAAGCAUUUUGCUUCAGUAGGAACUAGACUUGCUAACAGGCCAGUGUCCUACUGAUCUGAGCACCCACAUUCAUAUUCCUAUCAUGCUAUUUUGACCCACUACUUCAGUGGAACCUGGAGAAGCCCUUCAUUUUCAAUUACAGAGGCAUUUCUAAGACUGAAACCUCCCUAAAUUUAUAUGAUACUUUAUGGUUUGCAAAACAUGUAGCACAAUUCCCAUUUUGUAGAUGAGGCAACUGAGGUGUUGUAAGGGAGUUGCCCAAUGAAUGACGUAGCUUGAGCUCUGGCCUGGUUUUCUGAUUUCCCCGCUUAGGCUCUUUCAUUAUACCAGACACCUCUUAAUUAAUUAGAACAAAAUGACACAGUGCAAAAUUAAUUCAAAGAAUAAAUUACCCCUAUUUAAGAUUCCAGAGAGACUUGGGACAAUACAUGUGAGAGUUUCAAUGCUAUUUUGUGGAGCUGGCCCAAUGGAAGUAUAGAUACCCUGCCAACUUUACACAAGAUACAUAAAUCUCAAAAUUGAUUUAGCUAACCUUCAUGUAUUUUGGAAACACAAAAUUUUAAGCUAGAAUUUGGCUUGAAUGAAGAGAUUCACACCAAGCCUGCAUCCUUGCUACUCUUGUAAAAUGUUUCAUGAACCCCAGUGUUGAAGACCUCACUGUUUUAGUUUGACUGUGAAGGCCGCCUACAUAUACUUGCUGCCAGUGGAAGGUUAAUACUGACUCAAAAGCAAGAGGUCCACUGACUGAAUCACCACCACUUACUCCAGUCCUUUCCUCUGUGUUCCUUGGAAACCUCUUGCCUCAGUUUGGGUUUGACCCAACCCACUUAGAAGGAGAGAGAGCAGUUUUACAGGCCCGCGUGGAGUGACUCCAAGCCAAUCGUAUCUAUUUCCAAAUGAUCUGACGCAGCAAGUAGAUCGUAUUUCCUUUGGAGGCUUGGCUGAGGACAGUUGAGUUGGCAACAUUGAACCAGAGUGAAUAAAAUACGGCUGUCAAGAAAAAAUCUGAAAUGGUCCCUAAGGACAUAGGAGUAAUGAAAUGCUCAGGUCAGGGGUGGGGUGCUUUCUGGGGAGACUGAGAAAAGAAAAGAGGAUGAGGUGACCAUGUGUGAAAUUCAAAUGAAUCAACAGUGAUUUGAGAAAGCCAGGCAGAUUGGCACAUGCCCAGUACCUUUCGGAGAGCAGGCACCAAGCCUAAAAAAAAGUUUCAGAAAAUCUAACUCCUAUUUUCAUUCUUACCUUUAAUCGGAUUUUUAUUGCAAUUUUUAUUCUUGGUUCCCUAUCCACUUUUCCCUCAUCCUGCCAAAGGAGCCAGGGACUCUGAAUGUAUUCACCAAAGACCAACAGACCCCUGUGUUCAAUUAUUCUGGUCUUAGGGAAUAAUGAUUAGGAAAUUCCAAGAAUGAGAGAUGGGAACAGCACAGAAGAUAGGUUCCAUUUAAGGUCAUUGGAAAGAAACAAGUACCCUAGUUGCUAGGAUGGAAAUGGUGCUGUUUCUUUGCACAUCUUUUGAAGGGAUGAACUGAACCCUAGAACCAACUCACAACCCAGGAGAGUGUCUGUUCACAUGAAUACAGGCAAAUCUUUGAGCACCAGUCUCCACUGACACAUAUCUGCUUCAUUGUUCUCUCCUUGGUUGUGCAAAAAUAUUUUCAAAGGCAAAGACACAGUGACAAAGUUAGGCUCUUUGAAGCUGUUCCUUGAACAGGAGGAGGUGUGUGCCUCUGGCCAUCCACUUGGCAAUGGAUGUCUCCACACUGCUUCUUUCCAUCCAAAUAUUUUGGCCACUAAAAUUGUUUUAGCAGGAAAUAGUCUACAAAGGACAACAAUCACUUGCCUUUGCUUCAUGCUCUUCACAGUCAAUUCAACUGGCAUGUUUCAUGCACCCACUCUGUGCCAGGCAUUUUUUCAGAAUGGAACAAGACCUCCCUCAAUGCCUUAGCAGGCUAGCAGGAGAGACAGUCAAAUAUUACAAGUACCUGGGGCAGAAAUAUUGGAAACACCAUGGAGACUCAGGGGAAGGAGCCACUGCAAAAAAGCUUCACCAGAGAGCAGACAUGAGAAAGGAGAGAGGGCAUUACUCUGGUUGGAGCCCUAUCCUCAUUCAUUCAUCCACACAUUGAUUCCCCAAACAGUUAUUACCCAUCUGUUAUUUGCCAGUAAUAAGGGACUUGGAAUUCAAAGAUGAAUGGGAUUUGGAGCACAGAAUGGAGGGGCUUGAGGAUAGAGGAAGUUGUGGAAGAGGAAUUGAAAAAAGAUUGGGCCAGAUUGGCAAGGGCCUCACAUGCCAAGCUGAGGAGUUGAACUUCGUUCUAUAGAUAUUGAGGAGCCUUUGGAGACCCGGGUUCAGUCCCUGGGUUGGGAAGAUCCCCUGGAGAAGGAAAUGGCAAUCCACUCCAGUACUAUUGCCUGGAAAAUCCCAUGGACAGAGGAGCUUGGUAGGCUACAGUCCAUGGGGUCGCAAAGAGUCGGACAUGACUGUGCGACUUCACUUCGCUUCACUUGGAGAUCUGUAUUUACAUGGCUGGUGGCACAGAUACUCACACUACCCCACAGAGCCACCACGGAGUCCACCUGUGGGACCGAGGUGUUCAGUGAUAUUUCGUGGAGUUUUUCUUUCUUACAGAUGCAUUGCAAUGAAACUGCACUGGUUCGGACUAAUACAGGUUAUGGCUAGAGAGCCUCAGGCAUCACGCAUGCCCAGCCUAAUAGUCUUAUUACUCUCCAUCCUGUCGAAUAAAUCACAAUCAAAGCUAACAAAAAUCUUCUCUGGGAGAGGUGUGGCUUGCUCUACUUUGAGAAGUAGAUGGGCCUCAUGUAUAAACAGCAUUUUGCCUGUUGGACUAUAAAUGAUGUGGGAGUGCUCAGAAACAGUUUGUUCUUUUAAUGGAUUACCAGUUUCCCCCUGGAAAAAAAAAAAUUGUUUCACAGAAUUUGCACACUCUUCCUUUGUGUGCAGUAAGGGAUUUUAUAUCAGUCAGCCUGGAAGGGUCAGAAUUCUGGAAGCUUUGCUGUGCUCAAGCCAUCGACCCUGGCAAUGAUCUCUGUUAUAGAGAGCUGGGGACAAAGAGGGGCUGAGUAUUUUCUGGAGAGAUUUGAAGAUAAUAGUACAUUAGCAAAAGAAGGAGAUGCUUCCAAAUUUUCAAAAUUAGUUAAGGGAAAGGUAUUUACAACCACAAGACCUGGUCAGCAGAAAACACAGACGUGCUGGUGGAGGAGAGACAGAGGAGCAGGCAUGUGGGAAGAGACGAGUUUAAAAUGUUUUCCUUCUAUAAAAUUCCCAUUAUACCCCCGAGGCAGUCAGUUUGGGCAGCAUCCCCCACCACCUCCCAAAUUUCGUCCAUCCAGAGACCUGGUAAAGAAAGCAUCCUUCACAGGGCUCCCCACCCAUUCCCAGGCCCCAUGCGGGGUCUCCCCACAAGUCUGCUGUCUCGUCUCCACUUCUGCUUUAUCCUGUACUCACCGACCCCUGAUGACCAUUCCCGCAGGUCAUUUCUGUGCUUCCCCUUCCCUGCCAAUAAAUGAGAUAGUCUGCCAUGCUCCGGCCUGGCAUUCAGCAUCCGCAUGUCUCCAGGGGACCCUUCCCAUCUCAUGCCUUGUCCCUUAUGUGUAUGAAGCCAGAGGAGCGUGCCUACCAACCCAUAGAGUACUUAGAGAGGGCCUAGCAUGUCGCAGCUAUCAUUGUAAUAACCAGUUAUUAUGAUGAUGUUAUUAUCUUGCUUUUGCUUGGGUUGCCCAUCCUGCUCCCUCUCUGUCUGGAAGGACUCCCCCAACCCUGACCCCCCUCCACACAAAGGACCCUCCUCUGGUCUCCUGUAACUGAUGCAGUAACAUUCUUAUAGCUGACUGACUCACAACAUCCAGAGUUUCUCUCACUUUUCAGAAUGAAAACCCCUUUGGGUCAAGGACUCUCCCUCGCACUUAUUUGUUAAGUCCUUAGUACUUAGCACAGUGCGCUGUACACAGUAGGUGCUUGUUUUAGGCUGUGACAUACUUAAUAAUAAUGGUCAUUCUACUUUAUUAUGCAUUCCCCAUGUGCAAGUUGUUGGAGACUUCUGCUAAGAUUAAUCUUCACAACACUCCCAAUGAGUGUUCUGUUUUAUGGAGUAGGAAAGUGAGGUUCAGAGGAUGUUUUCUUGCCUGAAAUCAUAGGUAGUGAAUGACAGAGCUGCAAUUUGAACCCAGGUUUGUCUACUCUUGAACCUGAACCUGAACUCAUAAGGGCUCCGUUAUACUCUCAUGAAGACAGGGACUGUGUCUUUCCUUAAGAUGGGGUUGCAAAUUGGCAACCCGAGGGCCAGAUCUGGCCCACAGAUGUGUUUUGCUUGGCCCAUGCAGUGUUUUUUAAAAAUCAGGAAAUUUUACAUCAUCAUCUACAUUUCUGGCCUUGCUGGAAAACCUGGGCGAUCCAGUAACCCUGUCUCAGCACGGUGAUACUAGGCUGCUGCUGAGAAGGGCUGCUGCCCUCCUUUCUCUCUGUCCCUCCCAGACGUGGCCAGCAUCAACUAUCCAGUUCUGUUCUUCUCCCCCAGGGUGUUGGCACUGGGGGUAGGGCAAUUCUUGGUUACACGGGACUAUCUACAUAGUGCAGGCUGUUUAGCAACCUUGGUCCUCACCCCCUGUAAGUCAACAGUGCCCUUCCUUCUGUGACUUUUGACAAUCAAAGAAACACCCGCCAAACACUCCCAAAGCCACACUGUCCCCUGUUGAGAACCCCUGGUAGACAACCCCUUACACUACCAGCGCUGGCACACAGUAGGGCCUCAGAUAAAUAGAUUAAGUAGACUUAGAAUGAAAUAGCCAUAACCAGAUGGUUCCACAUGUGAAAAGUUCCCAUGAAAAAGAAGGCAGAAAAAUGAAGUAAUCAAAGCAUUUUUUAAAAUAAAUUAUCUGGAGCAAAUUUAGCGCAUUCCCCUAAACACCUGUCCAACAGUGGAAAAAAAAUUAGUACUAACACGUUCCCGUUGAGGCAUUUCCAUUCUGCAUGCCUCGGUUCCCGCUGUAAUGUUAAUUGGUUAUGGUUUUCUCUGCUCCUAGUCCUUACAUGUAACAAGAGUUACUGUGCAGCUGUCAACCAGACACCACCCAAAAAGGCUGCAUUUAAAGGGAAACAAGCAGAACUAAAUCACAAGUGGCCUUUCUUCAGAGAAACAUUGUUAAUACUAUUUUUACCUUUUGUUCUAAUUCUAAAAAUACUAUAUGUUUACAGUAGAAAUUUCAGAACAUGGUAAAGUACUAAAAGUAAAUAAAAAUCACACACUCAUCACCUGAAGAUAAUCACUAUUUAUAUUUUUGUGUAUUUCCUUCCAGUCUUUUUUACCCCAUGCACAUAUUUGUGUUGUUGUUUUAAAAAAAUUUGUUUAUUUUGGCCCUUAGAAAAAUUGGAAUCUUACUAUUUAUCAAGUUUUUCUUGAUAUCUCAUGGCUGAACCCAUGAUGAAUUCAACCAAUCCCCUUUUGUUAGACAUAGAGAGUUGGUUCCCAGCUUCAGCUCUUAAAAACAGCACAGUGAUCAGCUUCCUUACUGAUAAAUCCUUUUUGUUCACUCUGAUUGCUUUUAUAGAAAGUAUGAUGUGCCCACCCCUACAGAAAGACCUUAUCCCCUCCACUGGGAGAUAAUGUCGGCUCUAGAUCUAGAAAAGAUGGGUAAAGAGUAGAUUAAGGUUUGGUAAGGAAUGUCCAGCAUUCCCAGGUGGCACUAGUGGUAAAGAACUUGCUUGCCAGUGCUGGAGACAUAAGAGACAGAGGUUCAAUCCCUGGGUCAGGAAGAUCUCCUGGAGAUGGCAACCCACUCCAGUAUUCUUGCCUGGAGAAUCCCACAGACAGAGGAGCCUGGAGGGCUACAGUUCACAGGGUUACAAAGAGUCAGAUAUGACUGAAGUGACUUGGCAUGCGCACACACAAGAAAUGUCCAGGCAGGGAAAAGCCCAUGUUGUUGAACUUGCACCUUAGUGUGGCCAAAGCCAAGCCAUCUGCCAGGAACAAGGGGAGUGGAUGUGGAGUUGGGGACUUGGGUUUGGAGUUCUCACCACAGGAAGCAAACAAGGGCUUAACCAAAGGAUGAAAGCUGUUGGCAGCACUGAGAGCCCGGUUGAGGUCACACCAUGGGAUUCAGUAACAGAGGCCAUUGGCACAGGCACACAACUCUCUCCAGUGAGGCUGGGAGACAGAAAC
ensembl:lncRNA